ensembl:lncRNA
GGUGAAAUUUAGCAGAGAGAAAGAGGAAGACUUUUUUUUUUUUUUUUUUUUUUCUUCUUGUGCCUUUGAUGACAGGCUGAAAAUGGUUGAGGAAGCACUGAGGAUUUGAUUGGAGGCAACAUCGCAACUGGUCAAACGUUUUCUUCUCAACUGUGAGACCGUGAGAUUGUUCCAGAAGAUUGCUGCAGGGACUUUACCUUAAAACAUAAAGAGCUUAACCAGAAAUGUCAUAGUGUAGCAAAGGGUGCUUACACCAUCACCAAGAAAGACCAAGGAAAAGACUUCCUAGUGAAGGUCGCGGGGGGCGCUGGAGCCUAUCCCAGCUGUCAUAGGGCGAGAGGCAGGGUACACCCUGGACAGGUGGCCAGUCUGUCACAGGGCCAGAGAACCAUUCGCACCUAGUGGCAAUUUGGAUUAUCCAAUUAACCUAUCCCCACAAGUUGCAUGUCUUUGGACGGUGGGAGGAAGCCGGAGUACCCGGAGUGAACCCACGCAAACACGGGGAGAACAUGCAAACUCCACACAGAAAGACCCCAGCCUGAUGGUGGAAUUGAACUCAGGACCUUCUUGCUGUGCGGCAACAGUGCUAACCACCGUGCCACCGUGCUGCAUGUGAACAGGAAAAUGACAGUGACUAUCACCCAGACGAGGACUCUACAUGGCUGCCCUUCCCUGCAGCCUACUGUAACCCAUCUCUACCGAACAGGGAAGGAACAUUGAAGAGUUUAAGAACAACAAUCAAUAAAAACAUAAAUAUAAACAUAACAUAAAUAAAUAAACA